rnacentral:rRNA from 1 species
AUUGAACGCUGGCGGCAGGCCUAACACAUGCAAGUCGAGCGGAUGAAGGGAGCUUGCUCCUGGAUUCAGCGGCGGACGGGUGAGUAAUGCCUAGGAAUCUGCCUGGUAGUGGGGGAUAACGUCCGGAAACGGGCGCUAAUACCGCAUACGUCCUGAGGGAGAAAGUGGGGGAUCUUCGGACCUCACGCUAUCAGAUGAGCCUAGGUCGGAUUAGCUAGUUGGUGGGGUAAAGGCCUACCAAGGCGACGAUCCGUAACUGGUCUGAGAGGAUGAUCAGUCACACUGGAACUGAGACACGGUCCAGACUCCUACGGGAGGCCGCAGUGGGGAAUAUUGGACAAUGGGCGAAAGCCUGAUCCAGCCAUGCCGCGUGUGUGAAGAAGGUCUUCGGAUUGUAAAGCACUUUAAGUUGGGAGGAAGGGCAGUAAGUUAAUACCUUGCUGUUUCGACGUUACCAACAGAAUAAGCACCGGCUAACUUCGUG